UACGGAGGUUGCAAGCGUUGUUCGGAAUUACUGGGCGUAAAGGGAGCGCAGGCGGCUUGGCAAGUCUGGAGUGAAAUCCCGGGGCUCAACCCCGGAAGUGCUUUGGAUACUACCAAGCUUGAGUACGUGAUAGGAGAGCGGAAUUCCAGGUGUAGCGGUGAAAUGCGUAGAUAUCUGGAGGAACACCGGUGGCGAAAGCGGCUCUCUGGCGCGAUACUGACGCUGAGGCUCGAAAGCGUGGGGAG
rnacentral:rRNA from 1 species